CACGUAGGGUCCGAGCGUUGUCCGGAAUUACUGGGCGUAAAGAGCUCGUAGGUGGUUUGUCGCGUUGUUCGUGAAAACUCACAGCUCAACUGUGGGCGUGCGGGCGAUACGGGCAGACUAGAGUACUGCAGGGGAGACUGGAAUUCCUGGUGUAGCGGUGGAAUGCGCAGAUAUCAGGAGGAACAUCGAUGGCGAAGGCAGCCCCUUGGACCUGUACUGAC
rnacentral:rRNA from 1 species